rnacentral:rRNA from 1 species
GACAGCGGCGAUAGCACGUUGUACCAGUUCCCGAUGGAUCACUGAAGUUAAGCAACGUUGCGCGUGGUUGGUAAACGGAUGGGUGACCAUCUGGGCUAUCGCGUACUGCUGGCU